UUCUCCCCCCACUGGCACCGUGAGUCUUCUCUCCCCACCGUCACUGCCGCCGACGAGCCCAAAACCACUCCCCACCGUGCGAUGACCAGCUCUACCAUGCCUGGGACCCUCACCGACCCGGCCCAUUGGCACUGCCGUUAAGGUCAACAGCGCAGACUUCGAUAUCACCUUCAAUUGCGCUAGGCAGCCUCCACCACGCCAAGAAGGCCAAGGCCUCUUGGGACCCUCGGGCUCUCUGAGACUUUUACAAGGUUGAAAAACCAAGGCAAAGUUAGAAAGCCAUUUCAUUUUGAUUUUAUUUCCACAUCUAUCACUUUCUGCUUUGUCUAUUACGUUUCAAUUUCGUUCUCAAAUUUUUUAUUGCUUAUUCUCUGUUUCAAAUGGGUUGUUGGUAUUUUCUUUGUGAAAAGGAAGCUUCGUUUCUGAGAAAGACCGAGUGAGAAUUAAUGAUGAAAUAUAUGUCUUGGAGGUUUCUAGUGCUUAGCUCUUCUUAUCCUUUCACCUCUUCCAAAAAUCUCCUCUUCAUCAGUGUCUCUCUCAGGUGAAUUACAAGAGAGGAACGUAUCAAAGUAGAGGGUUUGGGUUUAUCACUAUGAGUACUGUUGAAGAAGCUGAGAAGGUUGUGGAGAUGUUCCACCAUUAUCUUCAUCUGAAGGCCAUUCAUGUUGUAUUGCAUCAGUUCUAGUCUUCGGCAUAGCCAUGAUGGGCCUCAACUCCUUAUAUAUUCAAUAUAUCUCUUUGCAUGUUCUGGUUGCACAAAACCCCUUAAUGUAAUCAGACUCAUGGGAUCGCAAGUCCUCAGCGUUUUCUAUGAUGAGUUGCUUGGUUGCUUAUUGUAAAUUAUUGGUGUACAAAUUCAUUACUAAAAUGCAUUCAAGUGAUACCCUAAAUAGGCUUAUUUUAUUAUUUUGUAAGUAUUUCGCGUGUUUGCCAAAAAGGAAGAGGUUACAUUUUUCCUUUUAUGGGUCAACUGUAAACUAAUGUUGCAAGCUUGUAAAAUUCUCU